AGAGAUGUGUGAUGACGCAUAUCAAUAAGCGGAGGAAAAGAAACUAACAAGGAUUCCCUUAGUAACGGCGAGUGAAGCGGGAAGAGCUCAAAUUUGAAAUCUUCAAGGUUUACCUUGACGAAUUGUAGUUUAUAGAAGUGUUUUCUGGUAGUAGAGUUUGGUAAAAGUUCUUUGGAAUAGGACAUCAUAGAGGGUGAGAAUCCCGUAUUUGGUCAUUCUUUCUAGCUUUGUGAUACACUUUCAACGAGUCGGAUUGUUUGGGAAUGCAGUCCAAAAUGGGUGGUAAAUUUCAUCUAAAGCUAAAUAUUGGCGAGAGACCGAUAGCGAACAAGUACCGUGAGGGAAAGAUGAAAAGAACUUUGAAAAGAGAGUUAAACAGUACGUGAAAUUGUCAAAAGGGAAGCGUUUGACACCAGUGUUGUUUUUCCGAAAAUCAAUUACGAAUGUUUUAUUUUUGAGAAGUUAUGACUUCAUCGGCUUGCUUCUUUCUUUACUGAAACUUUCCUAAUGCACUUUUCGGUUAACAAGUCAACAUCAAUUUCUUUUGUUGUAAAAGGGUACUGAGGAAGGUGGCUUUCUUUUCGGAGAAAGUGUUUAUAGCCUUGUACCUCUGCAAUCGGAGAGAUUGAGGUCUGCAGCGUAGAUCCUUCGGGGUUAGAUACAUUUGUGCUAAGUUAUAGCUUUUCAUAGACAACUUGUUGACUAUGUUAGUCUUGUAGCUUACUCGCUUAUGCUAUUUUACCUACGCUUAGGAUGUUGAAGAUGUAGCACAUCAU
rnacentral:rRNA from 1 species